AACCCAUGAUGAGGACACCUUCUCAAUAAGUCCUUGUAUCUCUCCCAUGCAUCAUAUAACAUCUAUAAAUUGAUCUCAGUAUGAAGGAAGAAAUAUCAUUCCUCAACUU
rfam:Gossypium arboreum cultivar AKA8401 contig_24275_1, whole genome shotgun sequence.